rnacentral:rRNA from 1 species
CCUACGGGUGGCAGCAGUGAGGAAUAUUGGUCAAUGGCCGGGAGGCUGAACCAGCCAAGUCGCGUGAGGGAAGACGGCCCUACGGGUUGUAAACCUCUUUUGUCAGGGAGUAAGGUGCAGGUUGGGACCUGCUGUGUGAGUACCUGAAGAAAAAGCAUCGGCUAACUCCGUGCCAGCAGCCGCGGUAAUACGGAGGAUGCGAGCGUUAUCCGGCUUUAUUGGGUUUAAGGGGUGCGCAGGCGGAGGCACAAGUCAGCGGGAAAAUGGCGGGGCUCAACCGCACUACGCCGUUGAAACUGGGUCCCUUGAGUGCAGGAGAGGUAGGCGGAAUGCGUGGUGUAGCGGUGAAAUGCAUAGAUAUCACGCAGAACUCCGAUCGCGAAGGCAGCCUACCGGCGCGCAACUGACGCUCAUGCACGAAAGCGUGGGUAUCGAACAGGAUUAGAUACCCGGGUAGUC